rnacentral:rRNA from 1 species
GACGAACGCUGGCGGCGUGCUUAACACAUGCAAGUCGAACGAUGAACCCGGAGCUUGCUCCGGUGGAUUAGUGGCGAACGGGUGAGUAACACGUGAGCAAUCUGCCCUUGACUCUGGGAUAACUGCGGGAAACUGUAGCUAAUACCGGAUACGACACCUUGGGGCAUCCCAGGGUGUGGAAAGAAUUUCGGUCAAGGAUGAGCUCGCGGCCUAUCAGCUAGUUGGUGAGGUAAUGGCUCACCAAGGCGACGACGGGUAGCCGGCCUGAGAGGGUGACCGGCCACACUGGGACUGGGACACGGCCCAGACUCCUACGGGAGGCAGCAGUGGGGAAUAUUGCACAAUGGGCGAAAGCCUGAUGCAGCAACGCCGCGUGAGGGAUGAAGGCCUUCGGGUUGUAAACCUCUUUUAGUAGGGAAGAAGCGCAAGUGACGGUACCUACAGAAAAAGCACCGGCUAACUACGUGCCAGCCGCCGCAGUAA